rnacentral:rRNA from 1 species
AUGUGGUUUAAUUCGAUGAUACGCGAGGAACCUUACCUGGGCUCAAAUGUAUGUUGACGUAUUCUGAAAGGGAUACUUCUUCGGACAAUAUACAAGGUGCUGCAUGGUUGUCGUCAGCUCGUGCCGUGAGGUGUCGGGUUAAGUCCCAUAACGAGCGCAACCCCUAUCAUUAGUUGCCAUCAGGUCAAGCUGGGGACUCUAAUGAAACUGCCUACGCAAGUAGUGAGGAAGGUGGGGAUGACGUCAAAUCAGCACGGCCCUUACGUCCAGGGCUACACACGUGCUACAAUGGCCGAUACAGAGGGCAGCUACCUGGUGACAGGAUGCAAAUCUACCAAAGUCGGUCUCAGUUCGGAUCGGAGUCUGCAACCCGACUCCGUGAAGUUGGAUUCGCUAGUAAUCGCGCAUCGGCCAUGGCGCGGUGAAUACGUUCCCGGGCCUU